rnacentral:rRNA from 1 species
GACAGCAUCUGAUGUCACUUUAUCAGUGCUAGGCUAUAAAGUCUAUAAUAGUACUAUAUCCACUGAAGCUAAGCAGGGUUGAGCUGGUCAGUACCUGGAUGGGAGACCUCCUGGGAAAAUUAGGUUGCUGCUGGAA